AUUGAACGCUGGCGGCAUGCCUUACACAUGCAAGUCGAACGGCAGCACGGGUGCUUGCACCUGGUGGCGAGUGGCGAACGGGUGAGUAAUAUAUCGGAACGUACCUUAUUGUGGGGGAUAACGCAGCGAAAGCUGUGCUAAUACCGCAUAAUCCCUUAGGGGGAAAGCGGGGGACCGUAAGGCCUCGCGCAAUUAGAGCGGCCGAUACCUGAUUAGCUAGUUGGUGAGGUAAAGGCUCACCAAGGCGACGAUCCUUAGCUGGUCUGAGAGGAUGAUCAGCCACACUGGGACUGAGACACGGCCCAGACUCCUACGGGAGGCAGCAGUGGGGAAUAUUGGACAAUGGGCGAAAGCCUGAUCCAGCAAUGCCGCGUGAGUGAUGAAGGCCUUAGGUUGUAAAGCUCUUUUACCAGGGAUGAUAAUGACAGUACCUGGAGAAUAAGACUCCGGCUAACUCCGUGCCAGCAGCCGCGGU
rnacentral:rRNA from 1 species